CUCCUGCUCUUUUCCCAGAAAGUCAACCAGGGCUCUGCUAUUAUAAGCAGAGUUUCUCUUGACUUUACAAAGUUUAUUGGCUGAAAAUGUAUAUUCAUGCACAAUUCAUUCUCAAUCUAGUCUAUCAUUAGCACAAUUUCAAAAUGCACUCUGAGUUGUUUUUCUUAGCAUCUCUAUGGUCCUUUACAUACAAGACACCAUGAGACCAUGAGACCGUGACACUUGAUCAACCCAGAAUGUGUCAAUUCGCAGAGCUUCAGCUAAAGGAGAUGCUGACUAAGAUGCCAAACCUUGAUGCUGGUACCACCAAUUCAAAACCCAGUCCCAGCCUCCCCUUCAGGAACCAGGACCUACACUGGACCUAAUUUCAUAGACUAGACUGGAUGAAGAUCAAGAUACAGGGAUCCAACUGUCUGUUUCCCAAGUAUUAGGAGUUCAAGUUAGCAGCAUUGAGGCCUGGAGUUUUGUCAUGGAUUCUGAAGAUUGAAUUCAGUUCCUAUCCUUUCAAGAACUUUACAGCCAUAAAAAAUUGAGAAAGUUCUACAAAAAGAUAAAACUUAAGAACCACUUGAUGACAAAGCAGAGGACAGUAAAAGGAGGUCUGCAAGACUAGAGGCUGGGGGAAGAAGGCUGCAACAAUAUGGGCAGGCCUGGAAGAUGAAAGAUGUGAGUGAUGCCAAGGGCUGGUCUGAAGGACGUGUGGUAAGGAGAGAACUAUUGGCAACAGGGAAAGCAGGAUCUGUCUACAUUCCUUCAGGCCUGCCUGCACCAAGGACAUUCAAAUCAGACCCUUCUGGCCCCAACCCUCUGCCUGCUGAUUAUCUCAGGGGCACAGCCAGCUUCUGCUCCUUGUCUCCCUUGGUCUUUUUUUUUUUUUUUUUUGGCCCACAGCU